GAUCAUGGCUCAGAGCGAACGCUGGCGGCAGGCCUAACACAUGCAAGUCGAACGGACCCUUCGGGGUUAGUGGCGGACGGGUGAGUAACACAUGGGAACGUGCCUUUAGGUUCGGAAUAGCUCCUGGAAACGGGUGGUAAUGCCGAAUGUGCCCUCGGGGAAGAUUUAUCGCCUUUAGAGCGGCCCGCGUCUGAUUAGCUAGUUGGUGAGGUAACGGCUCACCAAGGCGACGAUCAGUAGCUGGU
rnacentral:rRNA from 1 species